rnacentral:rRNA from 1 species
AGACCCGAAACCCGGUGAUCUAGCCAUGGGCAGGUUGAAGGUUGGGUAACACUAACUGGAGGACCGAACCGACUAAUGUUGAAAAAUUAGCGGAUGACCUGUGGCUGGGGGUGAAAGGCCAAUCAAACCGGGAGAUAGCUGGUUCUCCCCGAAAGCUAUUUAGGUAGCGCCUCGUGAAUUCAUCUCCGGGGGUAGAGCACUGUUUCGGCUAGGGGGCCAUCCCGGCUUACCAACCCGAUGCAAACUGCGAAUACCGGAGAAUGUUAUCACGGGAGACACACGGCGGGUGCUAACGUCCGUCGUGAAGAGGGAAACAACCCAGACCGCCAGCUAAGGUCCCAAAGUCAUGGUUAAGUGGGAAACGAUGUGGGAAGGCCCAGACAGCCAGGAUGUUGGCUUAGAAGCAGCCAUCAUUUAAAGAAAGCGUAAUAGCUCACUGGUCGAGUCGGCCUGCGCGGAAGAUGUAACGGGGCUAAACCAUGCACCGAAGCUGCGGCAGCGACACUAUGUGUUGUUGGGUAGGGGAGCGUUCUGUAAGCCUGCGAAGGUGGCCUGUGAGGGUUGCUGGAGGUAUCAGAAGUGCGAAUGCUGACAUAAGUAACGAUAAAGCGGGUGAAAAGCCCGCUCGCCGGAAGACCAAGGGUUCCUGUCCAACGUUAAUCGGGGCAGGGUGAGUCGACCCCUAAGGCGAGGCCGAAAGGCGUAGUCGAUG